UUUAAAUAAGGUUGUGAAGAAAGACAAUUUUGAACCUUUUAAAACACUUUUGAAAAACUGUAUUUAUGAAAACCAAAUAAUUUAAAACCUGAAAGCAUUAAUAAAAGGUUUAAAAGGAAACACUUUAACCCCCUAAAAACAGGAUCGCAUCCAGGUUACAGUAUUGAAAUCAGAAAACAACCAACCUGAUCUCUGAUGUACUUAACCACUUAGAAUCCUUGCCUCUUAGCAUCACUCACACGCGCAGUCUAAUCAGAUAAUCCAUCUCUAGCCUUAGCUGAAAGGUUCAGAAUUGAAAAGCAAGAAUAAGCUAAAAUGCUCAGCAAGUUCUAGUAGUAAAACAGUUUGUAUAAAGAUAGUUUGCAAGGUUGAGCUAUGAAUUGCUCAGCAGUACCAAUUUGAAUAACAAGAGAUAUAAUCGAUGUAAAAACAGCUUAUAAGAGCAAGAGUAUAGAAAUCAUGCAUGCUUCGAACAUAAAACAGUAAAUCAUCAUUUGAUAUGAAACUGGAAAUCAACAUUUAUUAGCAUGCUGAAAAAUGUGAUAAUCAUAAGUUUUAGUUUCAAAAUUUUAUCACUAGCAUGCUAUAACAGGUUUUUAUCUAAAACGAAUAUCAGAUAUAUUGGACGCUAACAGGUGAAGAUAGCUGAUCAGUCUAUCAACACCGGACGGCUCUAGUCGGCCAUCACGAAAUAAUGUUCCAGAACCUAAAGACUAGCUAUGUCUUUAGACGCUGGACCAGGUGGUUUUGGGUGUGUAAACCACGCAAGCCUCUUACGCCACCAUGAUGGGUCGUUAUCAAAUAACGGAACCUCUUACGCAGCUCCAAAUAGAGAUAUCUGAUCCAUUUCAGUUUUCAAUUUGAUUUGUAUCCAUCCCAUUUUCAAAACCAUUACAUGAUAUUCAUGAAUCAAUACCAUGUCUCAAAAAUUAUAUCACAGGUUUAGCAAUGAUAAUCACCAAACAUUUUCAGAAUUUAAAUCUCAUCCGGGAUAGAUAUUCACAAGUUACUAUUCCCCUAAAACAAUUUAAAAGAUAUUAAAAUCCAUAGAAACAGGGGAAUACGUACUUAAAACAUUUGAUAUUUGACAUGCAUUCUUGCUCUAUGAUAAACAUAUAUAAUCUGAACCAUAAAGAGUAUGGUCAGAGAUACUUGCAAUAUAUUUAAAAGAAGGUUUCAAGAUACUUGCAUAAUAGGAUUUGAAGAAAAUAUCACUUGAAUGAUAAGUAAAGAUAGGAAUACUUGCACUUUCAAAUAUAUAAGAGAGGACAAUACUUGCCUUUGGUCCUUAGCUUAUACACUCUUAGCUAACAUCCUUAUCUUAUUCUGCUUUCUCAAGACAUCACCCUCAACUAUUCCUGAUUCUCUGCUAUGGCGCUCAUGCGGUUGCUGCAGCCUGAUACGAAAUCUUAUCUAACUUCAGUCUUGAUCCCCAACGUCUGGUUCUAUUCGUCUCGAACAAUUCGUAACUACUGAACCGCUAUACAACUCUCCCCUUUUCUUGCCUUUGCUUGGUAUCACGCCCUCAAUGCUCGAUCCUAUUAUAAGCAAAAAGAUACUACUUUAGUAUCCUUCCGAAACGACUAUCCUAUUUCUACCCUUUCGCGAUAUAUAUAUACACGGCACAUUAUAUAGCACAUAACAAGUAGCACACAUUAUAGUUUUAUAACUUACAACCAACUCAGAAUAUUAUU
rnacentral:lncRNA from 1 species